ACGAAGGGGGCUAGCGUUGCUCGGAAUUACUGGGCGUAAAGGGCGCGUAGGCGGCUGAUUAAGUCGGGGGUGAAAGCAUGUGGCUCAACCACAGAAUUGCCUUCGAUAGUGGUCGGCUUGAGACCGGAAGAGGACAGCGGAACUGGGAGUGUAGAGGUGCAAUACGUAGAUAUUCGCAAGAACACCAGUGGCGAAGGCGGCUCUCUGGUCCGGUUCUGACGCUGAGGCGCGAAAGCGUGGGGAGCAAACAG
rnacentral:rRNA from 1 species